GGAAUAAUAAGGUACAAGCAUCUUUCCUAAAUAUUUGAUAAUAUUUCACCAGUUCUUGCUUAGAUGUUUAAUUUAUAUUCAUGUUGCUUGUCAAUGAGUUAUACACAACAGAAGCUUCCCCAGUUUAAGAUAAUUUCAGUUGUCAGCUUAAUUUGCCAAUUAGAGAGCUCUCGAUAAUUUGAGUUGGGGUGAAUCUUUCAUUUUUCAUAUUUUUCGGUUUUAAGGAUUAUCGAGCGUCAUCCUUGCAAAACAUGUAAUUUAUUCCUUAUUAGCAAGUAUCUUCUUUUAGGAAUUAAGUUGGAAUUCCGUUUAGCUCAUAAAUCCAGCAAAUUUUGCCACAAAUUAUGUUAGUUUUCUUCACAUUGCUCCAUUCACAUUGCCAUGAGAGGAGUGAUGUGUUAAGAAAAUGCAGUGAGGUCUUAGGGCAAUUGGGGGACUAAAAAAGGGAGCUCUGGGAUAUUUAUUUUGUGAUAGUUUCAAAAGGUACAAGAUUGAGUCCGGGUAUGGAUAGAUGGUGGGUUCUUGCUAGCUAGAAAGAACCAGGAUAUGGAUCCCACUGCAAAAGGAACAAAGAAUAUUAUCCACAGUGAUGUCUUGGAGUUGUGGGGUGUGUUCGUUUUAUAGAUUAUAAUUUAUUAUGGUGUACAUGUAUAGAUGCAGAUGCGUUGAUAUCUCUGUUAUCAUGAGCAUUCUUGUAACCCUGUAUAUUGUUCCUACAACUUUCUACGCUUCAAGAUUGUGAACAGCUUACAAUAUAGGAAGAGCCUUGGUAAUGCAGGAAACAAUUUAGAUUGGAUAUAUCUUUAGAGACAGUUAUCUAGGCGUGUUAGGGACAGGUUGUAUAUGAGAGCAAAUAUUUGUGUUGUAUUUCCUAGCUGCGCUGGAACGAGCUUCUCUUAAUCAUUAUUGCUCAACGGCAAGGUUCUGGAUGUUUGAAAAGUUCAUAUAUUUCUAUACUAUGCAGAUCCUAUUUCCAAGUGUCCAUUGACUCUUGUUUACAUAGGAU
rnacentral:lncRNA from 1 species